rnacentral:rRNA from 1 species
GUGGGGAAUAUUCCGCAAUGGACGAAAGUCUGACGGAGCAACGUCGCGUGAGUGAUGAAGGUUUUCGGACUGUAAAGCUCUGUUGUUUAGGACGAAAGUGCCUGUUGCAAAUAGUUACAGGUAUUGACGGUACUGAACGAGGAAGCCACGGCUAACUACGUGCCAGCAGCCGCGGUAAUACGUAGGUGGCAAGCGUUGUCCGGAAUUAUUGGGCGUAAAGAGCAUGUAGGCGGGAAUCUAAGUCUGUUGUGAAAAUGCGGGGCUCAACCCCGUAUUGCGAUGGAAACUGGGUUUCUUGAGUGCAGGAGAGGAAAGGGGAAUUCCCAGUGUAGCGGUGAAAUGCGUAGAUAUUGGGAGGAACACCAGUGGCGAAGGCGCCUUUCUGGACUGUGUCUGACGCUGAGAUGCGAAAGCCAGGGUAGCGAACGGGAUUAGAUACCCCGGUAGUCC